AGACUGGUUUUUUUCUUCAGAUAUGCAGGGGCAAAUCUAGAAAAGUUUAGAUGGGGGCCAGGCAGGAGCAAUGACAAAGAAAAGGGGGGCACA